rnacentral:rRNA from 1 species
UGGGGAAUAUUGCACAAUGGGGGAAACCCUGAUGCAGCGACGCCGCGUGAGUGAAGAAGUAUUUCGGUAUGUAAAGCUCUAUCAGCAGGGAAGAAAAUGACGGUACCUGAUUAAGAAGCCCCGGCUAACUACGUGCCAGCAGCCGCGGUAAUACGUAGGGGGCAAGCGUUAUCCGGAUUUACUGGGUGUAAAGGGAGCGUAGACGGCAGCGCAAGUCUGAAGUGAAAUCCCAUGGCUUAACCAUGGAACUGCUUUGGAAACUGUGCAGCUGGAGUGCAGGAGAGGUAAGCGGAAUUCCUAGUG